UUGACCAAAAUGGACUGUGAAUUUGGUAGGGCCCUAGUUAUACAGCAGGUCUGACCAGAUGACACCAAUGGCCUUGGAAUCUAUGAAAUUCCCACACAUUCAGAGACCAACAGCCAGGUCAAUUCCUGCUGCCCUGUUUCAGUGCACAAAUCAGCUGCUAUGGAUUCAGCAAAACCACCAGCUCCACAGCUACUGAUCAGCACGUUUUCCCCUUUGACCUUGGCUGACCUUUCCAGGAAGAGAGGAGACCCAAUGGCCUACAUGGAGAUGAAUUAGGAUGUCUCUCACUGCACGAUUCAGGUAGGAGAGAAAUGACGGUGAGGGAGAGGAAACAGUGUCUGCUUCAUGCACAAACAUCUUGGAAAAUCAGCCAUGCUAGGGAAAAGUAAAAAGGUAACAGUUCAGUAGGCUUUCUGUGACCCAUUGCCAUCUGCAAUAUUUGUCAGAACUCAGCAGCUCUUUAAAAGUAUUUUACACAACUCCCACGAAGGAUAGAGCACAGAACAAAAACACCCUCCCUCCUCAGUCGGCAUUCCAGAGCCAGAUGGGAAGGUCUGAGGCUGCAACUGAUCUAAAGACGGAUGUUGGCUGCUUAAAGAACCUCUCUGGAUGGCUGUAAGAGGACCUGGUUGUCCCAAAUGAGCAUGAGGGGAGAGAUGGAACAAGAGUUAAGAACAGCAGAGCACGAAUGCCUUGCAAUGCUGCAUGGAGAAUUUCAGAGCAGACUGCAGGGAUGGCACUGGUGGCUGGGGGGGGAGGAGAGGCAAUUUUAACAGGAAUGGGGAGCAUACUUUAAUGUCACAGAAGGUUAAUUCUAGUUACGUCACCCCCCACAAAGUGGCUGAAUCCUUAGCAUUUAAAAGUUCCUGCCCGCAAGCUGUAAGGCAUGAUCAAAAGCCUCAAAAGAGCCAUUUUCUUUAGCCAAUAGUUCAGUCGUAAACACUGUAAUUAAGGGCUCAGGAGAAAGCCUGUGGAACACUAAUGAGUUUGGAACAAGCCCAUUCCAUUAAAGGCACAUACAUGGGAAAUGCACACAUCAGAUCUUCAGUCCUUUCUGGGCAUUGCACAGAACCAGCCUAUCACACCAGAGCCAUUUGGCUGCCUAUGACACGUGCAGAGCUGGGGACAUCUGGAAGGCGGAAAACACUGGCGUGAUUCUUUGCAAGCAACGCAAUCAACAGGGUCAGUCGUCCCAGGCAAAGCAAAAAGGCCUCCUUUGUUCUCAUGCGGGUUAAUCAGGAGCUUCGUGUUCAGGCGGCUUUUAGGCCCUUCCAUCACUAAUCACAGGCUCAUCCUCCUUUAUACAGUAGCUGUGCCCACAGUUCAUGGCUAUCACUUCAAAGGUCUGAUGGGCUCCCUC